AUUGAACGCUGGCGGCAUGCCUUACACAUGCAAGUCGAACGGUAACAGGUCUUCGGAUGCUGACGAGUGGCGAACGGGUGAGUAAUACAUCGGAACGUGCCCGAGAGUGGGGGAUAACGAGGCGAAAGCUUUGCUAAUACCGCAUGCGAUCUAUGGAUGAAAGCGGGGGACCGUAAGGCCUCGCGCGAUUGGAGCGGCCGAGGUCAGAUUAGGUAGUUGGUGGGGUAAAGGCUCACCAAGCCGACGAUCUGUAGCUGGUCUGAGAGGGCGACCCGCCACACUGGGACUGAGACACGGCCCAGACACCUACGGGGGGCAGCAGUGGGGGAUUUUGGACAAUGGGCGCAAGCCUGAUCCAGCAAUGCCGCGUGCAGGAAGAAGGCCUUCGAGUUGUAAACUGCUUUUGUACGGAACGAAAAGGCUCUGGUUAAUACCUGGGGCUCAUGACGGUACCGUAAGAAUAAGCACCGGCUAACUACGUGCCAGCCGCCGCCGUAAAAC
rnacentral:rRNA from 1 species